rnacentral:rRNA from 1 species
UAGAGUAACACGUAAACAACCUGCCUUCAGGAUGGGGACAACAGACGGAAACGACUGCUAAUACCGAAUAAGUUCCAAGAGCCGCAUGGCCCAUGGAAGAAAAGGUGGCCUCUACCUGUAAGCUAUCGCCUGAAGAGGGGUUUGCGUCUGAUUAGCUGGUUGGAGGGGUAACGGCCCACCAAGGCGACGAUCAGUAGCCGGUCUGAGAGGAUGAACGGCCACACUGGAACUGAGACACGGUCCAAACUCCUACGGGAGGCAGCAUG